rnacentral:rRNA from 1 species
AUAAUGGGUCAGCGACUUAUAUUCUGUAGCAAGGUUAACCGAAUAGGGGAGCCGAAGGGAAACCGAGUCUUAACUGGGCGUUAAGUUGCAGGGUAUAGACCCGAAACCCGGUGAUCUAGCCAUGGGCAGGUUGAAGGUUGGGUAACACUAACUGGAGGACCGAACCGACUAAUGUUGAAAAAUUAGCGGAUGACUUGUGGCUGGGGGUGAAAGGCCAAUCAAACCGGGAGAUAGCUGGUUCUCCCCGAAAGCUAUUUAGGUAGCGCCUCGUGAAUUCAUCUCCGGGGGUAGAGCACUGUUUCGGCAAGGGGGUCAUCCCGACUUACCAACCCGAUGCAAACUGCGAAUAC